AUUGAACGCUGGCGGCAUGCUUUACACAUGCAAGUCGAACGGCAGCGGGGACUUCGGUCCGCCGGCGAGUGGCGAACGGGUGAGUAAUGCAUCGGAACGUGCCUAUCAGUGGGGGAUAACGCUUCGAAAGGAGUGCUAAUACCGCAUAUUCUCUGAGGAGGAAAGCAGGGGACCUUAGGGCCUUGCGCUGAUAGAGCGGCCGAUGUCGGAUUAGCUAGUUGGUGAGGUAAAGGCUCACCAAGGCGACGAUCCGUAGCGGGUCUGAGAGGAUGAUCCGCCACACUGGGACUGAGACACGGCCCAGACUCCUACGGGAGGCAGCAGUGGGGAAUUUUGGACAAUGGGCGAAAGCCUGAUCCAGCCAUGCCGCGUGAGUGAAGAAGGCCUUCGGGUUGUAAAGCUCUUUUGUCCGGGAGGAAAUCCUGGCCUCUAAUACAGGUCGGGGAUGACAGUACUGGAAGAAUAAGCACCGGCUAACUACGUGCCAGCCGCCGCAGUAAUAC
rnacentral:rRNA from 1 species